rnacentral:rRNA from 1 species
UACGUAGGGUCCGAGCGUUGUCCGGAAUUACUGGGCGUAAAGAGCUCGUAGGUGGUUUGUCGCGUUGUUCGUGAAAACUCACAGCUCAACUGUGGGCGUGCGGACGAUACGGGCAGACUUGAGUACUGCAGGGGAGACUGGAAUUCCUGGUGUAGCGGUGGAAUGCGCAGAUAGUCAGGAGGGAACACCGGUGGCGAAGGCGGGUCUCUGGGCAGUAAACUGAC